CCUACGGGUGGCAGCAGUGGGGAAUAUUGGACAAUGGGGGGAACCCUGAUCCAGCGACGCCGCGUGAGUGAAGAAGUAUUUCGGUAUGUAAAGCUCUAUCAGCAGGGAAGAAAAUGACGGUACCUGUCUAAGAAGCCCCGGCUAAUUACGUGCCAGCAGCCGCGGUACUACGUAGGGGGCAAGCGUUAUCCGGAUUUACUGGGUGUAAAGGGAGCGUAGACGGUGCAGCAAGUCAGCUGUGAAAGGGCGGGGCCCAACCACGGGACUGCAUUGGAAACUGCUGAACUGGAGUACAGGAGAGGUAAGCGGAAUUCCUGGUGUAGCGGUGAAAGGCGUAGAUAUUAGGAGGAACACCAGUGGCGAAGGCGGCUUACUGGACUGUAACUGACGUUGAGGCUCGAAAGCGUGGGGAGCAAACAGGAUUAGAUACCCUAGUAGUC
rnacentral:rRNA from 1 species